GCACGUUAGCCUUCUUCAAUUUUUAACCUGCACUUUGUCUGCGCACUUUAGCUUCAUUCUCGUCUUUCUCUCUGUCCUCCACAAAGCACAAACAGAACUCCCAAUUGAACUCUUCCAACUCUCUCUUCUCCUUUCUUCUUUAUCUCCCUCGAGGAAUGGGGUUUUCACUGCGUCACUACUCACUCUCUCUCUCUCUGGUUUCUGCGUUUCAAUGCAUGCUAAUUGUUUGCAUAAAUCGCGCCUUCAAAACCCUAGACUGAGCCGGACUGCUCUAUUUUGCGGGCCAUUUUGGCUUCUCACUGGAUUGGCAUCUUCUCUUCCACUGGAAUCGCGUGUUAGAAUUUGAUUCAAGAACCGCCGAUUCUCAGAUGCGGCCGAGUCGCAGAAGGGGCGCCGG
rnacentral:misc_RNA from 1 species